AUACGGAGGAUGCAAGCGUUAUCCGGAUUUAUUGGGUUUAAAGGGUGCGCAGGCGGCCAUUUAAGUCAGCGGUUAAAUCGUGGGGCUCAACCCCAUUCUGCCGUUGAUACUGGGUGGCUUGAUUGCGGUCGAGGUUGGCGGAAUUCGUUGUGUAGCGGUGAAAUGCAUAGAUAUGACGAAGAACACCGAUUGCGUAGGCAGCUGACCAGACCGCAAAUGACGCUCAUGCACGAAAGUGCGGGGAUCGAACAGGAUUAGAUACCCUGGUAGUCCGCACAGUAAACGAUGAAUACUUGUUUUCGGCGAUAUAAUGUCGGAGGCAAAGCGAAAGCGAUAAGUAUUCCACCUGGGGAGUACGCCGGCAACGGUGAAACUCAAAUGAAUCGACGGGG
rnacentral:rRNA from 1 species